UACGAAGGGUGCAAGCGUUAAUCGGAAUUACUGGGCGUAAAGCGCGCGUAGGUGGCUUGAUAAGUUGGCUGUGAAAUCCCCGGGCUCAACCUGGGAACUGCAGCCAAAACUGUCUGGCUAGAGUGUGGUAGAGGGUAGUGGAAUGUCCAGUGUAGCGGUGAAAUGCGUAGAUAUUGGAAGGAACACCAGUUGCGAAGGCGACUAACUGGACUACAACUGACACUGAAGUGCGAAAGCGUGGGGAGCAAACAGG
rnacentral:rRNA from 1 species